rnacentral:lncRNA from 1 species
ACAGUUUUCUGUGUUCGUGAGACAAGAAGAAAGAUGAUCGACACCUGCACAAAGGAGUGUGGUAAAGGCUGCAGGGAGUACAUCUAUGAGACGAAACAGUCGUUCUGGCUGGCGUAUGACCCUGAGAACGAAGGAGAGUACUACAUACGGCUCAAGUUACUCAUGACGUCCCGCUCCGUGGAUGUCAUGCACAUCAUUCCCCUCAUCAAGGUGACGUUCCU